rfam:Fusarium graminearum chromosome 2, complete genome
GCCGUCAUCGUAUAGGGGUCAGUACACCAGUUUGUGGUUUCAUUCGAAUCACUGGAAACGCAAGUUCGAGUCUUGCUGACGGCA